GAUGAAGAACGUAGCGAAAUGCGAUAAGUAGUGUGAAUUGCAGAAUUCAGUGAAUCAUCGAAUCUUUGAACGCACAUUGCGCCCCUUGGUAUCCCGAGGGGCAUGCCUGUUCGAGCGUCAUUUCACCACUCAAGCCUGGCUUGGUGUUGGGCGACGUCCCCUUUAGGGACGCGCCUCGAAACGCUCGGCGGCGUGGCACCGGCUUUAAGCGUAGCAGAAUCUUUCGCUUUGGAAGUCGGGGCCCCGCCUGCCGGAAUACCUACUCGUAAGGUUGACCUCGGAUCAGGUAGGGAUACCCGCUGAACUUAAGCAUAUCAAUAAGCGGAGGA
rnacentral:misc_RNA from 1 species